rnacentral:lncRNA from 1 species
AUAUAUCCAACUGAAAACGCAGCUAUAUUGUGAACUUAUAGUGAAUUCAAAAUAUCUUCUUGAGCAACUUAAUCUGAAGGCUAUAUACUUAGUAAUUGUCACCACUACACGAUUACACAACUAUAUUUUUGUUCAAUAUGCAUGAUUUCCGCAAGUGUGGUAAGGUAAGGAAAUCCUUUAAAAAUAUCAGACCCCCCCC